ACAUCAGCUGCAGAACAGCUCCGCCCGGACUCCUACGGGAGCCGGGCUCCGCCUCCAACAUCAGCUGCAGAAUAGCUCCGCCCGGACUCCUACGGGAGCCGGGCUCCACCUCGGUAUCAACUGCUGGUAAGCUCCGUCCGGACUCCUACGGGAGCCGGACUUCACCUUUAACUUUGAUUGCAAACGGCUCCGUCCGGACUCCUACGGGAGCCGGGCUCCGCCUCCAACAUCAGCUGUAGAACAGCUCCGCCCGGACUCCUACGAGGGCCGGGCUCCGCCUCCAACAUCAGCUACAGAACAGCUCCGCUCGGACUCAUACGGGAGCCGGGCUCCACCUCGAUAUCAACUGCUGGUAAGCUCCGUCCGGACUCCUACGGGAGCCGGACUUCACCUUUAACUUUGAUUGCAGAGGACUCCGCCCGGACUCCUACGGGAG
rnacentral:lncRNA from 1 species